AUUGAACGCUGGCGGCAUGCCUUACACAUGCAAGUCGAACGGCAGCACGGGAGCAAUCCUGGUGGCGAGUGGCGAACGGGUGAGUAAAGUAUCGGAACGUGCCCAGUCGUGGGGGAUAACGUAGCGAAAGUUACGCUAAUACCGCAUACGAUCUAUGGAUGAAAGCGGGGGAUCGCAAGACCUCGCCCGAUUGGAGCGGCCGAUAUCAGAUUAGGGAGUUGGUGGGGUAAAGGCUCACCAAGCCGACGAUCUGUAGCUGGUCUGAGAGGACGACCAGCCACACUGGGACUGAGACACGGCCCAGACUCCUACGGGAGGCAGCAGUGGGGAAUUUUGGACAAUGGGCGAAAGCCUGAUCCAGCCAUGCCGCGUGCAGGAUGAAGGCCUUCGGGUUGUAAACUGCUUUUGUACGGAACGAAAAGGUUUGGCCUAAUAAGCUGAGCUCAUGACGGUACCGUAAGAAUAAGCACCGGCUAACUACGUGCCAGCAGCCGCAGUAA
rnacentral:rRNA from 1 species